rnacentral:rRNA from 1 species
AGAAUCAACGCUGGCGGCGUGCCUAACACAUGCAAGUCGAACGAGAAAGUGGAGCAAUCCAUGAGUAAAGUGGCGCACGGGUGAGUAACACGUGACUAACCUACCUUUUAGUGGGGGAUAACCUAGGGAAACCUGGGCUAAUACCGCAUAACACUUACGAGUCAAAGCAGCAAUGCGCUGAAAGAGGGGUCGCGGCCGAUUAGCUAGUUGGCGGGUAAGGCCCACAAGGCAGUGAUCGGUA